UUUGUAAAAAAAAAAAACACUUUAAUUUUAACUCUCCUAUGUCUUUGAUUCAUGUCGAACAUAUAACUCACAGACUCCUAUCUUUUCCAAAGAGAAUUUUCUCCAAAACGAUCAGCAACGGCAGAAAUGUAAUGACCGAGGGAGACAUAGGGGUUAAACUCCCGGAUAGUUUAUUGCAGCGACCACAAUUUGCUGUAAAUAGAAAACAAAGGGCCAUUAAACGCGUUCUACAGUUUUCCCGCCGAACGCAGACGUCACGCUGGGACUCCAGUGUCUUAUUGGAUCCGACACCAGGGGCGGACCGGAAAUAGACCCUCAUCCGAACCUGCGUGUCUUUUCUUUUCUUUUUUUUUUAGUCGCAGUUCGACUCCAGUCAACAUCUAUCUGGUCUGGUUCUCUGCUCAGACGGAGACAAAACCGGAGUUAACUUCACUGGGAAAGGAAACCGUCGCUAAGUGUAAAAUACAAAGGACGUCGCGAUCAGCUGAUCCCCGGGACGAGACGGGAGCGACAGAACGAGAGCUCGAAAACAACGGACAACAACGAGCGGAGGAUCCGGCUCAUCUCAUAGUUCAGAUCCACCUCUGCUCCAUCAAACAACCAUGGAAGAACAGAAAACGGGGUCGCCACAGCGAAUGAUUUGCAUGGUAGAUUUUUACAUCAUACACACCUACACCUUCCUGACGCAACGCCGCUCUGAGGGGAUUGAACCCACCUGGUGACAGGAGCGCACUGACCACUGCACCACGGACACGGAAAAACGUCUGGUUUUUCCAGCCAGUAACAGCAGAUGAAGAAAAGAAUCGGGUUUUGGCUAAAUAAAGAAUCUGUGGCUUUUUGUGACGUCAGAGGAUUCACACUGGAGAAUGAAUUUGUUUUAUUUAUGUGAUAAUCAAAUUAAUGAAAUAAACUGUCUCAAUAACAUGGAUGUAGUGUUUAGAAAACAACACUGCAAGACAUGGCAACACAACAACAACACGCUGUGAAGGUGACCAACUCUUUGUUUCACUCAUAGACACAGUUGUCAUCUUUUAACAGUACUUAAAAUUGACCUGAAAUUGACUUAAUGAACAAAAGUCAUUACUUUCUGUAGUUCACAGAAGUACAGUGUAGCAAUUCACGUGUGGACCUAGGUAACUUAACAUGUAAGCAUCACUCCCUUCCAUAGAGACAAAGCUGCGAUUCAACAGAAAAUAAGAAUUCACGGAACUCUUGUCUUUUCUACAGGACACUGUUUCCUCUCACAACAGAACUGUGAAUUUAACAUAAACAACACACAUAUGGUUAAGUGCACAUCACAAGACCAUGGAUACUUUCAGGUAACACCACCUAAAUCUCACCAGGGUCCUCUUCUGCCUUAACACUAACCAGACCUAGACUUGUCUGUUGUUUUUUACCCAGACGCAUGGACUCUCCCACUAGUCAGUAGAUCUGGGUCGUAAACCUGGAAUGUGAAUUAAUAAAAAGAGAAAACUCUCCAUUUAGACACAGAUUAUGGGUCAGAUGCACCAGAACUUUCAACUGUCAUGAGACUGAUACCAUUGUAUUCUGUAUAUAAAAUGCUUUUAUUUAAUAUGAGAUUGGUUCCUGUGUGAUGCUUCAUUCUUGAUCUACAGAUUUGCCAGUAAAAUACUCAACAACAAAGGAACCUCAAAUAACUUCUCACCAGGCUUUGCUUUGUGUGGACUUAUAAAGAGAAUUAAAGAUACUCACCUUCUUCUUUUAAUCUGGGUACCAUACAGUAGAUAUGUUCUAGGUACCCCAGGUAAAUUAUGUAACCUCAUUUUUAUUGUGCUGACUUUUUAAAUCAUUUUAAGUGUUACACCAGUUUAAUUAGUAAUAUUCAGAUUAAGCCAUUCAUAAUUUGUGAUUUUGCUUCUGAUUAUUAUUUAUGUAUGUUUUAGUGUUAGUGUUACAUAGGGAAAAGACCAUUCAUCAUGUAAUAACUUGUCAUUUGUCACAGCGUUUAAAGGACAAUGUAUAAAGACUUAAUAAUCUAUGCAUUUAUCUUUGUUGUUUAACCAUUCUGACUUCUCUGCUUAUUUGAGUGGCAAAGUGAUCGUUCCAUGUGUACUGUGUUAUGGUUUGAUGGAACUUUGAGCUUGAUGAAAAGAGGAAAGCUUAGUUAUCCCAAAUUUAGGAUCAAACCAAACAAGUAGUUUGAUUCCUGAUCUGAAGAGGUGGAACUCUCACCACUGGUUGAACUCAUUUUUUCCGCCCUGCAGUGACCACUGCCCCUGGGGAAUUUAAACCAGUGACACCCUAGUGGAAUCGGAUUUCGCUCUAUCUUCAAACUUCUUCACCUUUUCUUUUUGCGUCUAAUUCCUUUCUUUAAUUUCCUUUGUUCUUAAAUUUUGUAAACUUACCUUGAACUUAAAAAAUACGAACAAGCAGCGAAUUUCAUUACUUUAGAAGGUCAUCUCAAGAAACUUUGUGAAACUCUCUUCUUAAUUGACUUGCUAUUUUUGAUUGAACUAAUUAAAUUAGAUUCCAGCCCGUUUCCUUUUUGGGCUAGUUUGAGCGCUGACGCUUUGAAACACCUUGAAAGUCCAGCCUGACUGACUGUUACUUCGCUCACCCCGAGCCGUCAUCAUCACCGCGGGCGACGAUUCCUGGCCCAAAGGCCGUGGCACCUGGACCAGAGAGGGCACGCCUGCUCAACCAACCGGUAACGGGAGACGCUGCACAGCGGCUACAGCUCCAAACUAAGGCAAGAUGAACAUCUCUGAUCCUCUGAGAAGUCUGGUGUUUCUUAAAGCGCUAAAAAUUGAAUAUUCCAAAUUCAUUAGUUUUAUAAGUUAGAAACAAUUACUCUAUUCUCUUGAUCAAAGCCACCACACACUUCAGUAUUGACCAUCAUUUAUCCUUUUAUUCAUUCGUUGCACAUUGCUAUGUUUACUGUGGUUUUGUUCACAUAUGUUUAUUAAUUGCCGUUAACAUUAUCUGUUACAUGAAGCUUCCAUCACACACACAUCCUCAUUUACCAACACUCUCUCUGUUCAUGCAUUGAUAAUCAUUUCAUACUCAUUUUUUGUUUGUUUAUUUGAAUAUUUUUAUUUUAUUUCCUCCAUAUAUCCAGUAGUGUUAGAUCAAUAAAAUGUAAAAGGAAUCUGGUUUUGUGUGCAUUGUUCUUCAGAUUUACUGUAAGCAGAGGUCACUGAACCGUGACAAGAAUUCACGACAUUAGGGACUGAUUUAGUUUUAUCGCAAGAAAGUUGUUAUUGUUGUUAAUUGAAAUCUGGCAUUGAAUAGAUUAAUACAAGGGUUGUAUCAGCUUUAAAACAAACUAAAAGCCCCAAUUUCGAGGAAUGUUAAUGUUUCUGCAUUAAUAUCAAACUAUUAUUUUGAAUCAGCUACAACAGUAAAGGUGUCAGCUCAGGUGCACUUUUCUUGCUCUGUUUCUUAUUGUGCUGUGGCAAACUGUUUGAAAUUUGUUUUCACUGCUGUGAUGGAAAAAAUAGUUUCUUAUUGUAUGAUAUUAUAAGAAAGUACUGUAUAUGGUUUGUUAUGUUCAGCUUGCAGCUUCCUUAUGUAUGGAAAUCAUACACCAGUUUUCUGUAUUUGACAUUUCUCUUGCUCUAUGGUUGUUUCUGCCUGGCACUCUCUGAAGCUGGCUCCUAUCUGAGCCUCCUCUCAGUGACAGAGAUGUCUAUGCAAUUUGAUUGGACCAGAGGGACAAUGUGUCCUGUCAGGUAAAGGGACAAAACGCUGAAACAACCUGAGGAUUGUGGGAUCUUACGUUACAGCUUUUUCUUGUAUGUUCUGUUGCAUGUCCAGCACUGGUUUAGUUUAGCCUUGUUGUUUUUUGGGGGUUAUUUAUGGUGCACAUCAAUGUUUUAAUUUACUAUCCCCACUAUUGUUUUCUUUUAUCACAAUAAAUUACAUGAAAGACAA